rnacentral:rRNA from 1 species
UACGAAGGGGGCUAGCGUUGUUCGGAUUACUGGGCGUAAAGGGCGCGUAGGCGGCCAGCGCAAGUCAGUUGUGAAAUCUCCGGGCUUAACUCGGAACGGUCAACUGAUACUGCGCGGCUAGAGUGCAGAAGGGGCAACUGGAAUUCUCGGUGUAGCGGUGAAAUGCGUAGAUAUCGAGAGGAACACCUGCGGCGAAGGCGGGUGCUGGGCUGACACUGACGCUGAUGCGCCGAAAGCCAGGGGAGCGAACGGG